rnacentral:rRNA from 1 species
GAUGAACGCUAGCUACAGGCUUAACACAUGCAAGUCGAGGGGAAACGACAUCGAAAGCUUGCUUUUGAUGGGCGUCGACCGGCGCACGGGUGAGUAACGCGUAUCCAACCUGCCCAUCACUUGGGAAUAACCUUGCGAAAGUAAGACUAAUACCCAAUGACAUCCCACGAAGACAUCUGAAUGGGAUUAAAGAUUUAUCGGUGAUGGAUGGGGAUGCGUCUGAUUAGCUUGUUGGCGGGGUAACGGCCCACCAAGGCAACGAUCAGUAGGGGUUCUGAGAGGAAGGUCCCCCACAUUGGAACUGAGACACAGUCCAAACUCCUACGGGAGGCAGCAGUGAGGAAGAUUGGUCAAUGGGCGAGAGCCUGAACCAGCCAAGUAGCGUGCAGGAUGACGGCCCUAUGGGUUGUAAACUGCUUUUAUAAGGGAAGAAAGUGGGUCUCGUGAGACUUUUUGCAUGUACCUUAUGAAUAAGGACCGGCUAAUUCCGUG